rnacentral:rRNA from 1 species
AAACGACUCUCGGCAACGGAUAUCCCGGCUCUCGCAUCGAUGAAGAACGUAGCGAAAUGCGAUACUUGGUGUGAAUUGCAGAAUCCCGUGAACCAUCGAGUCUUUGAACGCAAGUUGCGCCCGAAGCCAUUAGGUCGAGGGCACGUCUGCCUGGGCGUCUC